rnacentral:scRNA from 1 species
CUGCGCAAACAGUUUGAGGGUCAGGUGGUGGA